UCGUUUGGGUUACGUCAUCAUUAUGCGCCGCCUGUUUAUGAACAGCCGCUAAAUAUAGUGGCAAAUAUGUCAGGCUACAGGAAGGCCAUUGAGAAACGAAAUAAAUGACUCCAUGUCAAUUAGCACAAACAAACAAAAGUUGCCUUGUUUAAAUAGUUCGAUAGUGGGAGUUAUUAUCCAACUCAAAAGUUGAGGAAAUGGGAAAAAUCGUUAUAAAGUUCGACUCCUUUCCAAGUCACAGUCUAGUAAAAUAACACAGUUGCUUAAAUGUGAGCAAACAUGGACGAGGAGGAAGCACUCGGUGAGCAGCUGUACAGUCGCAUUUACCCCAAACACAGCGAGAAUGCUGGAAAACUGACAGGUAUGUUGCUGGAGCUUCCUGGUCCUGUUUUGAGUCAGAUCCUGCAGGACGACACCAUGCUCACUGCAGCUGUGGACAAAGCAGUUCGAGCCCUGCAGGUGGACCAGGAGGAGCCCAGCAAGAAUACGAGUAAGGAUGAAGAUGACGCCUCUGUAUCUUCUGACUCUUUGGGCGAGCAGCUUUUCGACCUAGUAAAUGUUUACAACACCGGCUACUCACAGAAGAUCACAGGUAUGUUACUGGAGCAGCACAAGGAGGCCGUCUUAAACCUCCUCUCAGAUCCCAAGCAGCUGGAAGAGCAGGUGAACAAAGCCCUCAAGACUUUAAAAGAGCAGCACGUGGAAGAGACGGACAUCAGUGACUCAUCAGACACCGAAGAUGCAGAGAGGUUGGGGGAGAAGCUCUUCUCACUGGUGGAGGAACUGGACCACCGUCAUACGCAUGAAAUCACAGGACUAUUCAACAUUCACGAUUCAACUUGACCCUCUGACCAAUAACUACCCAGCAGGCUUCCCUCUUUGACCAAUGACUACAUAACAUGCAUCACUCUCUGACCACUGGCUAUUUAACAUGCUUCGUUCAUUCACCGAUGAUUACCAGUAUGAUUUCCUCUCUGACCAAUGACUACCCAGCAUGCUGCACUCUUAUCUGAUGAAACCGUGUGGCGUGCUUCACUUUGUGAUUUAUGACUACCAAGCAAGCCUCACUGUGACUACAGGUAUGUAACAUGCUUCUAGUUCCCACCAAUGAUGACCCAUGUCCUUACUGGUCACAAUAACGUUAUCUGGGAAUAUGUAUGUUGAAAUAACUAGUAUGUAAAAUAAUACAUUCAUUUAACAGUUGCCAUAUUUCCACCUCAUGCUGGCACUACGGUAUAAAUAUACUGUAUAUGACCACAUAGUUGCAACUUUUCUAUUCGGUAACUGUCAGGUGAAGUCCUCAGAAGUUGAAUAAAUGCUGGAGACUGCAGGCAGGUAGUAAGCAGGCACACAUCCCGCAUUGGAUGGACGGCAAAGCAUCUCGGGCAAACAGUUGAAGCGUGCUACUACUGAUGCAAUGAACAGGGCGAGAGAGAGCAGCUCAGGCGGCGGUGUAUAGGGUAUGUAGAAGGGUAAGGAAGGUUGUGAAACACUUGCAAACCUCAUAAAAAGAAGUACCUGGUUUAAAUGCUGACUCACUUCUCGUGAUAAAGAACUCAUUGAGCUAGAACGUGAGAGCUGAGGACAGCGAGGGGGAAAUAAACAUUGGACAAGAAAACAAACCACAAAGCCUUAUUAAUUGUCUCCCAUGCAUCAGAUUAUGUAACAGCUCACUAGCUCAAAUGUGGAAUUGAUGGUUCUUCUCGAGGAGGGAAAAAACAGAUUUGAAAACAAUUAAGAUUACAGCAGAGAAUGAUUUUUAACAAGGCUGAACACUAAGAGAAAUUAUGAGCAAAGAUUUUAAAAGGACAUGCUAUAUUAUAUGGUGUCAUGUGCUCACAGUCAAACCAAUUAGAAAACGGCACACGCGUGGCUGUUAGGUGUCGAGCAUCAUGUUUCAGUGACGGAAUGGAGGUUUUAAGCUAGCUAAAGACAAAGCAACAAUUUAUCUCACCUCUCCAGAUUGUGACCCAUCAAGCACAGGAGGACCUUGUGGGACAGGUGGUAACAGUGUUGGAUUGAACAUCUGGUUUAAAGACAAAAGAAUGAAUUUGAAUAUAGAAAGCUUAGGGUUUACACCUGACUUUUAAACCUCCAAAAAAUGAAAAACCAGAAGUGCAAAUACAUGGUACUGUCCUUGAUGGUGUCAGAAAAUGGCAUUAAAGUUGGUAACUAAAACAAUAAUGAAAACAAUGCCAGAUAGCAGUAAAUCCCUCCCCCACCUAAAGGUGAUAGUGGAAUAUGGUACAUUUUAAUUAGGAAAUGCCAAGGUCUCCCAAUGAUUUAAAAAGUAGAUACCUGUGGAACAGAGCUGUUUGGUGUGGUCUGUUCCUGAUUCCCCCCUUCGCUGCCCUCUAGAGGUUGUUGAUCAUUGGGAGCUAUAGUACAGUAAAGACAAAUGUAGUCAUCACUUGGUUGUACUGCCCUUAAAAUAUGACUAACUGUGUCUGUGUCACAAACCUGAACUAGGCACAAAUAGGUUUGUGGGCAUGGACAUUGGUGCGAGAGGGGCAAAGAGGUCCAUAGGAGGAGCAGGAGCCAACCCAGCUGGUUUAGCAGCUCCACUCGGGUUCAGCACGUCCACAUAUCGGCUCUUGAUGCCUGAGGAGGAAGCCCCAAACCCAGUCAAUUACAUCAUCUGGAGACAUCUUUAAAUAAUCCCUAUUUUACCAGCUCUCCUGGAGAACAUGUUGACUGGAGGACCGCUGCUUGGGGGUGCAGCAGGCCCAGUAGGACCAGGCAUGGGAGCCAUUUUGGGGAACCCAGAAGGUGGUGGUGGAAGGGGUUUACUCUAAUAUGGUAAAAGGCACACUGAGUAUUCUGUUCACAAUAAAGCUCAGUCAUAAAUAAGUUACAUUACAAACCUCCUCCUCAGGCUCGUUCAGGUCGACCCAUUUCUGCUUCUUUUCGUCCCACACAAUCUGACAAAGAGAUUCCUUACCAUGACUGGUUACAGGUACAAAAUUAAGAGUUUUGCAAAGAUCGGUGGCUUACAGAUUUGUUUUUGUCAUCUGGCAAGUGAGCCUCAUUCUUGCCCUUUCUGUAGAGCCACGUCAGCCAGCCCACCCCGCCGCCACCCUGUUUUGAGUAAGACAAACCUGUCGUGAACACUGGUAUUGUAGAUUGUAAGAGAAUAUCCGAGUGCAAAAAUGAACCUUUUUGGGAGAGUCCUUUUUGGCUUUCUUGGUCUCCUCUUUGCGGGGUUGUUCAGGAAUAGAGGGCGGCGGCGGCGAAGUCUGCUUGACAGCCGAAUUGCUCCUCUCACGUCCACUGGAGUGAGUUGAAGACUCAGAAGUAGUACGAGAGCGAAGCCCAAAUGCCUGUAAGCAAGAAAACCCAUAAGAGUACAGAAAACUCACUAGUCACAUCUUUAGAUAUACUGUAACUUGAUGGUACAGAGUUGGUAGAUGCUUUAGCCUUCAGAACCACUUCUGUUCUACGCCAGUAAAAACCAGGCUACAUGUAUAUCAAGGAAGAAGCACCAACGCACCCGGUGCACCGAAGACUGCGAUGUGGUCCUUGAUCUCCUCCCAGGACCCUGCACAAAAGAUGAAGUAUUGUCCACAAAACAGCAUGAAUAAAUCAAUGAAAUGUUUCCAAGAGUGUCACUAACCAGCUGUGCCAUGUGGUCAUAAAAGUCCAUCUGAGGUGUUAGGGAGCUUCUGUGUGGGGAGUUGGAUAUUGGUUGAUC